rnacentral:rRNA from 1 species
AAACCUGAGAAACCCGAAAGAUCGAAUGGGGAGAUUCAUCGUCAGCGAUUCUGGUACGUGUGCGGUUCGCGAUGUCGGAGACUUCGGUCUCACGGCACGCGUCCGCAUGUUUUUUAUUGCCGGAGUCGUCGGCGUGCACUUCUCCCCUAGUAGGACGUCGCGACCCGUUGGGUGUCGGUCUACGGCACGGUAGGGCAGCCUGUCUCGUGUGGCGCUUCACGGCGUUCAGCGAGGCAGACCUCCGUCCGCCCGACCGACUGCCCGGCGGUACUCGCAUGAUAUCUAGUCGCAGCCAUUCGAACUGCGUCCGGCCCGUCGCAAGCGAGGCAAGUGUUUCCCGGCUGUACGGAUCUGAUGCCGUCACCGGGCCUUGCCAGCUGUUGGCUGACGGUGUCCUAGGACAGGCUAAAGAUAUCGGUCAGCGACGCUACUGCUUUGGGUACUUUCAGGACCCGUCUUGAAACACGGACCAAGGAGUCUAACAUGUGCGCGAGUCAUUGGGAACUUGUAAGCCUAAAGGCGCAAUGAAAGUAAAAGUCGGCCUCGCGCCGACCGAGGGAGGAUGGGCCGCGUCACGAUGCGGUCUCGCACUCCCGGGGCGUCUCGUUCUCAU